ACCUGGCUGGCUUAGUCGAUAGAGCAUGAGACUCUUGAUCUCGGGGUUGUGAGUUCAAGUCCCAUGUUGGACU
rnacentral:tRNA from 1 species